rnacentral:rRNA from 1 species
GACGAACGCUGGCGGCGUGCUUAACACAUGCAAGUCGAACGCUGAAGCUUGGUGCUUGCACUGGGUGGAUGAGUGGCGAACGGGUGAGUAAUAAGUGAGUAACCUGCCCUUGACUCUGGGAUAAGCCUGGGAAACUGGGUCUAAUACUGGAUACGACAUGUCACCGCAUGGUGGUGUGUGGAAAGGGUUUUACUGGUUUUGGAUGGGCGCACGGCCUAUCAGCUUGUUGGUGGGGUAAUGGCUCACCAAGGCGACGACGGGUAGCCGGCCUGAGAGGGUGACCGGCCACACUGGGACUGAGACACGGCCCAGACUCCUACGGGAGGCAGCAGUGGGGAAUAUUGCACAAUGGGCGGAAGCCUGAUGCAGCGACGCCGCGUGAGGGAUGACGGCCUUCGGGUUGUAAACCUCUUUCAGCACGGAAGAAGCGAAAGUGACGGUACGUGCAGAAGAAGCGCCGGCUAACUACGUG